rnacentral:misc_RNA from 1 species
GAUGAAGAACGUAGCGAAAUGCGAUACUUGGUGUGAAUUGCAGAAUCCCGUGAACCAUCGAGUCUUUGAACGCAAGUUGCGCCCGAAGCCAUUAGGCCGAGGGCACGCCUGCCUGGGCGUCACACGUCGUUGCCCCCCCAUCUACUCCUUCGGGAUUGCGGGGGGCGGAUGAUGGCCUCCCGUGCGCCUCGUCGCGCGGUUGGCAUAAAUACCAAGUCCUCGGCGACGCACGCCACGACAAUCGGUGGUUGCGAAACCUCGGUUGCCCGUCGUGUGCGGUCGUCGCGCAUCGAGGGCUCGAAAAAAUUGCCGGGCUCCGGCUCGGCUUUCAACGCGACCCCAGGUCAGGCGGGAUUACCCGCUGAAUUUAAGCAUAUCAAUAAGCGGAGGA